CAUUGUCAUUAAUGUUGUUGCUGUUGUUGUUUUUGUGCAGUUUGCAAUCAUAUAAACCUAGCAAGCAUCAGUCAGCACAGUGACUAACCUAAACAGAUUCUUGCUUUAUUCACAUAUAUUAUAUGUAAUUAUAUAUACCUGCACAUUGUACCUAGGGUUGCAGCCACUUGGCCCCACCCCAUUGUUGUGACAGCCCUGAUUGUACUUAUACACUGCAUCUGAACAGGGAACAGUCUGCCACAUUAAUGUAUUUUUAAGUGACUUGUUUGUAAUACAUGAAUUUGUUUUUUACAGAUGUCAAAGUCUCAACCUCAUGCUGCCCUCCCCCAUCCUCCUAAACCUGUGGAUACAAAUGCAGAUUUCCUUAAUGUUCAAUGGUGCGUGUUCUUCUAAUGGCCGCCUUCCCACUGGAGGUUUUGAUCCACAGCAAUUUAAAAGGAGGACAGAGCAAAACGGACAUCGGCGCAGAGUGAAGAACUGCCCUUGAUAAGGACACUAUGACAGCCAUAUAUAGUAAGUGAAGACUUUCUGUGUAUCUAAAAUUGCAUACAGCACAAGUAACUUACUUUGCAACCAUUAAAAUAGGUUGUAAAGUAAGUUACCAAUACAAAUAGGUGAUGAUGCAUUGUAGUGGUUGGUCUCAGACAAAGAAGGUCAACAGAUUUAUGAAUGCUGGAAGGUAAGGA